GAGGUGUAUUCACCCGAGACCGAACUCAAGGCCGCGCGGAGGUGCUGAGAAACUGCUGAAUUCCAAGGCACUGGGACACUUCUUGAAGGAACAAACCUGGUUCUCUGGUCUCUACUGAGGACACGGUGAAACUAGGAUUCUCUGAACUCAGCGAUGACACGGAAGCCAAGCUGUGCUGUUUCCAAGGCCCUCAUCCAAGUCCACAUGGCUUCAAAGUGACCUCACUCCAGGUUUGUCACCAAACCAACAGUGCCGUUGGUUUUUUUCCACCAAAGAAACAUUACUUGGUUGGAAGAGGCCUCUGGGCCCCAAGAGUGUGCUCUACUGUCCAAGACAAGCUGAAAAAGUGGGUCAAGAUUUCACAAAAGGAUAAGGCAAACGGACAGAUGGGCACCGGAAGCCUUCAGUAAUGCUCCCAUCCUGAAGAGAACGCCUUCAGGGAAAGGAACCCUCUUAUAAAUACCGACUGGCAAAGCAUUCUCACUCCCUUCUUCUCCGAUGACGGACCACUAUCUGAAGAUGCGUGAAGUCCAAUACGCUCUAAUCACAAAUAUGACACAUUUCCAAGCGCUUCGCUCAUCCUCUGCAGGCCUCUCACCCGAUCCUACUCUCCCAAGAUGCAAAGUGCUGGAUCCCACCAUCAUUCUCAUCAUUGUUACGCCUACACAAAUUAUUACAUUGUAGCUUUGGAAACACAGAAUCAACUUCUUGAUUAAGGAAGUCAAAACUACUCAAUUAAAUCCAGUCAAAAACUUCUUCAUGCACAAAGUACUGGACUCAAAUAUGUUUAAGACAUGUAAAGGCAAACUGAAAAGUAAGGUAGAACCCCUACAAUGUAGAUUACUUAACAUUCUCAACAUUUACAUACCCAUUAAAGUUAGACUCAUCAACAAAGUAAUAGCCAACCCAGUUUUUUAUUUCCUUGGUUUGGUACUGGAAAAUCACGUUCCUGUUUGACUGUCAUUCGUUAACCCUUAAUUAGGAAUGUUGCUUAGAAACUAUAUAUGGAAAAAGGGCACCUUUCAGAAGGGACCAUUAAGGCUUUCCCAACAUUUACUUUUUUCCAACAUCCAAGCACAGCCUGUUCAUUGGGUGACAAUGACAUGUAAUGGGAACUCUGAUAAAGAAGAGACACAGGGCUUUGGAAACUAUUGAAUACCCCAAUAAAGGGACUAAUUGCAGUUCUGUGCAAAUGUAAAGCCUUCUUCCAACUUGAAAAACACAUUAAAUUACUCUAUGAGUCAUUUUAUAUUGCCCACACCCUUAUUUUACAAAAAAACAGAAGCAAUUAAUGUACAUAUUCCACAUUUGGACACGUUCAAAUCAAACUCGUGUACUCAAGUAUUUCUAAGCAACCUAUGUUUAUGCAAAAAGUUAUCCGGAAGAUUAAAUGAGAUAAAGCAUGUAGACCAUUUGGCAAAGGCCUGGCAAGCAAUCAGUACUCAACAUUGCACAUUAUUAUCGUUCCUAAUUUUCCAACUCUGUAAUCAUACUAAGCAGUUAUAAAGUUAUGCACAUGAUUAUGUAUAUAUAAUAUACAUAAACUGUGUUACUACUAGAAAUAAAGCUUUUAUGUUAUGUACCAAGCAAUGCUCUUCAUCUAGACAGAGGUGAGUUUAAUUUUAACAGAAUGAUCCACAAAGAAGCAGAGAAAGCUGGCUAAGGGGUAGGAUGUUAAAUGUUACCUCGAAUCUCUGCUUAUCAAUUAAGGAUACAACCUCUACAUGGUCUAGUAUGAAUUAUAAUCAGCAGUCAGCUGAUCCUAGAGAACUCGCUCAAAAUGAAUAGUUAAGAUGUCAAGCACGUGGACAAGUGGCCAUUUAUUUGCAAGGCUGCACCAACCACUGAAAUCUGAUUACUUCAAUACUCAUGCUGAAAUCCUCCAUAAAUUCAUUACCUGUCUCAUGCU